AUGGUUAACCAUGUUGGCUAGUCCGGCCAACCCAACCGGUUUGGUCAGUUGUUGUCUAAAAUCUUAGUGGCCGAACCAACAUUUUCGUUAAGCCAACCAAACCAAACCUGACAGUUAACAGAUUUGAUUAAACAAAGUAACAACAAGCACACACAACCCAGCUUAACCAAAUGCAAAUUACUAUUACUUUACUACCAAUAUAAAAGAAGAACUAGCCCAGAAACCAAACAAAAGUCAUCAAACAUUUAAACAUUGAUUAAACUAGUACCAGAACACAUAACUACUAGGAUUGAACCCCUUAAGGUCACGAUCAACCCGCUAUGCAGCUAGAUGACAGCGGUUAGGAAAGGAACAUCCAACGGUUCAAUUUGCAGUCCCGGCCUCCUCUGAGAAAGUUGAUAUCUCCAGAUUGUUACGCGCGCUCGAAUUUGGAUCAGCAAGCCUAUCGAAAUUCAGGGAACUUCGUCACCAAUUUGAUGU
rnacentral:lncRNA from 1 species